AGAACAGUUCAAGUUACCAGGUUUAUCAUGACUGGCAUCUGUCGGUCUUCCAUCCUACCACUCUUUCAUCCUACCACUGAAAACACACAGCCCCAUCUUCUUCGUUUUCUUCUUCUUUCUGCUCACUUACUUUGCUUGCUCUAUGAAUGUAUUCACCUACUCCUUCUGUCUGAGAAGGGAGAAGAUUGGUUCAGUAGAGUGAGAGGAGAGAUAAUCAAAGCGACAGAAAGAGAGACAGCCUGAACGGAAGGGGAACCAACGAUCGCCUACGGUGGGCCACAACGUUGAUGUCCUCCUGUUCCUCCUUCUUCAGUCCGUUAAGAAACGUCGCUCCCUUCAAUUUCGAUUCCGGCGAACCGUCCAUCGGAAUCCAUGCUUGAUGCUUGACGUCUGAAAUUACAGCUCUGUUAUGUUUCAGCAACUAGGGCUCGAAUUUUAAUUACUUUUGGGUAAAUCUUUACAAUUUGAGGUAUGGCGUUUAUGUUUUCAGAUUGCAUGUACAAAUUGACAUGCACUUUGGGUCUCACUUGGGUUGAUUGUAGAUUCCGCUGUUCUCUUUGCUUUUCAUCAAAGAUAAAUGACUUGGACCCAGUAAAAGAGAUUUCCAUGGAGUACAUCAAUUAGCCAAAAUUUGGAGGUUUUUUAUGGUUCUGCCAUUAUGCGUUUUUGGUGCAGUAGAGAGAGGGGACCAGAGAAUAGGUUAUAGAGAGACAAAAGAAAAAUAGAGAGAGAGCGUGAACUCGGUGACCAUCUUCGUCUUCUGCUCCCUGUUCCAGCUGCGAUGGGUCUGGUUGAUACCAAAGGUUAACGUUGACGAUGAACUCAACGGAAGAGACCAUGAUGUUAGCGAGGUUAUCGGUAGUGCCUAGGGUUCCAGGAGAACUCCGACGAGUCAAAUCUCCCGUUUUGGUGUAGCUUGGCAAACACUAAGGUGUACCGACAUUGUGUGGUUUAGGUCUUUAGCUGGUGGUUGAUGUUGGGUUUUUGUUGGUCGGCGAGUAAAGCAGCUAGAGGUGGUUCCGACAAGUGGGAUUGUGACAAUUGAUGGGUUUUUGCAGCUGUAACUCCAACAGCCGGACAAUGGUCACGAGAGAGUAAAGAGAGACCCUUUCGAUUUCAAUUUCAAUUUCCAAGUUUAAGGUCUUUUCUCCUCAAAAACUUCUGGUGAGUGAAGGUUUUUGGCGCGCAUUUUGAUUAUGGCUUGUGUUUCAUUAUGGCAUUGAUUAAGGCUGUGAGGAGUGGUGCGGCUUGGGUUGGCGGCUUUGCUCGACACUUGGCGAUAGUGGGGUCCACCGGACCACCCCAAAAAAGUGUGGUGUGGAAGCGUCGUGGGUUAGCGGCGUUGGGGAACCCACUUAAAUAUUGCUAACGGUAAAAAAUUGAAGGUCCAAUCCUGGCUAGCCAGCUCACCCCACCCCCCGCCAGGCACCAUAGCGACGCUGGUUGGGCAACGCUGGCACGGAGUGGCUUAGCCAGCGUUGGCAGGCUUCCCCCGCCCAACCAACGCCACCACUCCCGCGGUCUAAUUGUGCUUCUUAGUUUUUUGAUUAUGGUUUGUACUUGAUUAUGGCAUUGCGUAGUUGUUCAAUUUCACCAUAAAAUCCAUGUAUAGGUGUACUAAAAAAAAUACUCGAUUUAAAUGGAUAAAUGCAAAUCUUCGAUAUUAUGCAUUGAA